UACGUAGGCAGCGAGCGUUGUUCGGAGUUAUUGGGCGUAAAGGGGAGGUAGGUGGUCUCAUUUGUCUGGGGUGAAAGCCUUGAGCUUAACUCAAGAAGUGCCCCGGAAACGGUGAGACUGGAGUCCUGGAGAGGGUCGUGGAAUUCCCGGUGUAGCGGUGAAAUGCGUAGAGAUCGGGAGGAACACCAGUGGCGAAGGCGACUUCCUGGCCUGUUCUUGACGCUGAGGCGCGAAAGCUAGGGGAGCAAACGGG
rnacentral:rRNA from 1 species